UAAUCCAAGUGGGAUGGAAUGAGCCAGGUCUGCCAUGAGCUUCUAGAUUUCAAGCUGUGGUGAACUCACACUGGAUGAAGAUCCAUGUUUGAGGAGAGAAGCAGAGGAUGCUGGAUUGCAGCAAGAAUAGAUUUCCUCUGCUUGCGUUCCUGGCUAUUUUUCUCUCCCCUGAUGGUUACAGGAGGGGUGCUGAGGCUGCGUUGCAAAUCUGCCCCAGUGAGCAGAGCCAGCUUCCAAGGGGUGCUCUGAAUAAGACCUGCUGAGGUGUGACAUGUUGAAGCAGACUGGUGCCUCCAUCCAGAUGUAGAUGCGCAGUACCAAACACAUGGGACCUGAGUUCUGGCCUGGGUUCGCAGCAGUGGGAACCAUGAUGUCAUUACGAGUUGGAAACCUUGUGCAGUGCUCGGCAUGGAACGGGUGGGGGGACUGAUGGGUUAGUCAGCAUGGAGCUGAGGCAGCGACAGAUUUACUGCUCCUUACACUUCCAUACGACUGAGGGAGAGGAAGCCUUGCCCAGCAUGAAGGUAUCCAUCGGGGGUUACAAGGUCAGCAUUCAAGAUGUUGGGUUACGUUCCAGGCCAAAAGCGAAAUGAUGAGUGACAUGGCCCACUGUCAUCGGAAUAUAUCAUCGUGAUCUUGUGCUAUUUCUGAUUGGUGCAGAAGCAGGAAAUUCCAGCAGUCUCCCAAGCAAGCUCUCUCCUCUGGGAUUCUGUCUGUGCUGGCAUCCCUGUCAGGCUGCCUGCGUCUCCACACGUGUGUUGGUGAUGGUGGGAGUGAGGAUGGGCUUAGAAAGGAGCGAUUGUUCCAACCUGCUGGAAGUGGAGGAAGUGGGAACUGAUGGCUAAUUAACUUAGCACUCAGCACGGCUGCUGUCCCGUGAAAACAGCAACAAGUGUGAUGGAUCCCUACAGAAUUGGCUUUGGUCUGGAAAUGAGAAGAAAUUGACUGUGAGGGAAAAGGUAAAUGACAAGGAAAAAAAUCUUUCUGCAAGGAAAAAACAUGUCGGGGAAAAAGGAAGGAAAGGAGGACCAGUUGUUGCUGUUGUUUCAUGGAUUUCAGUCCUUUCCUUCUAUAGGUAACUCUUUUCUGGGCUGGGGAGUUGUAGCUUUCUUGACCCUCCCCAUCUGUGACCACAGGAUCAGCCUUCUUGCCUUUCACUGCACCUUUUGCAAUUGCAUGAUAUCCCCUUUAAGGUGAGGGAAUGUCUCCUUGCAGCGAUCAGGAUGCAGGGGAAGCACAGACUUACUGUGAUGUAAUGACGUUCUCUGGUUUGUUCUUUCCUCGUAAUAGUUUCCUGUGAUGGAUUUUUUUAAUUGCUACUGUGUAAUGAGCUCGUGGUUCACAGAUCCAUCUGUCACAUCCCCAAGGUAUUGCUCCUGUGUGGUAUCGGUCAGCUCGGAGCGCAUCAUUUUCUAUAGGAAGUUUGGAUUUUUUCCCCCUUUGCGAGUCCCUUUACAUUUGUCUGCAUCAAACUUCAUCUGCUAUUUGAUGACCUGUCACUGUAUCAUAAACUUGUUUUGCAGUUCAUCCUGAUGCUCUCAAAAUUAGCAUCGUCGGCAGACUUCCUCACCUGGCUGCUCGUGCCCUUUUCCAGGUCAUUUGUGAGCAUCCAUUUUUAAUGGCACAGAUCUCUCCAGGGCUCCCAUGCUGCCCUUGCUCCAUUGCAAGAACUGACCAUUUAUUCCCAGUUUCCUAGCUCUUAACUGGGAUAUAUCCUUGCAAGGGCUUCACUUCUCCUGUAUUGGCUUAGUUUCCUAAAUGACCUGAGUCAGUGUUUUCUGAAAUAUAUUUCAAGAAGCUGUUGUUGGCUGAAAUUUGCAUCUUGCCUGAAAACAAGGUAAAAAGAAGAUAAAAACACCAAAAAACCCUAUUUUUUAUUCAUCCAAUGAGGUUUCCCCUCUCCUUCCUGUGUUUCACCACCUGAAGACUUUUGAGAGUAAAUACAUUUGGUUCAGUGUGGGGAAUCUCAAAAACUCUUCUGGGAAGAGAAAAUUGUUUCCUCACUGCUCUUCUACUGGUAAAUAAAUGCACUCCAAU
rnacentral:lncRNA from 7 species